GACCCAGUAGUGAAAUGAAAUCACGCCCGCAUCUUGUAUCGUCGCCAGUAAUGUAACGUGUGUCAACCAGGAAUUCCCUGUUCAAACCAGGGCUGGGUCA